UACGUAGGGUGCGAGCGUUGUCCGGAAUUAUUGGGCGUAAAGGGCUCGUAGGCGGUUUGUCGCGUCGGGAGUGAAAUCCACUGGCUUAACUGGUGGCUUGCUUUCGAUACGGGCAGACUGGAGGUAUGCAGGGGAGAACGGAAUUCCUGGUGUAGCGGUGAAAUGCGCAGGUAUCAGGAGGAACACCGGUGGCGAAGGCGGUUCUCUGGGACGCAACUGACGCUGAGACGCGAAAGCGUGGGGAGCAAACAGG
rnacentral:rRNA from 1 species